AAGGAUCAUUAACAAGCCUGUGGAGGUCAUCCCGCAAGGGAUGAAUCUCUCACCCGGCCACCCUUGUUUACCUACACCUGUUGCUUUGGUGGGUCCAUGUCCACCAAGGUUUUAACUAAAUCUGUGAGGUUUUUUUUGCUGUCUGAGUGGGAAAGCACAAAUUCAAAAAAACUUUCAACAACGGAUCUCUUGGUUCCG
rnacentral:misc_RNA from 1 species